GACGAACGCUGGCGGCGUGCUUAACACAUGCAAGUCGAACGGAAAGGCCCUGCUUUUGUGGGGUGCUCGAGUGGCGAACGGGUGAGUAACACGUGAGUAACCUGCCCUUGACUUUGGGAUAACUUCAGGAAACUGGGGCUAAUACCGGAUAGGAGCUCCUGCUGCAUGGUGGGGGCUGGCAAGUUUCGGCGGUUGGGGAUGGACUCGCGGCUUAUCAGCUUGUUGGUGGGGUAGUGGCUUACCAAGGCUUUGACGGGUAGCCGGCCUGAGAGGGUGACCGGCCACAUUGGGCCUGAGAUACGGCCCAGACUCCUACGGGAGGCAGCAGUGGGGAAUAUUGCACAAUGGGCGGAAGCCUGAUGCAGCAACGCCGCGUGCGGGAUGACGGCCUUCGGGUUGUAAACCGCUUUCGCCUGUGACGAAGCGUGAGUGACGGUAAUGGGUAAAGAAGCACCGGCUAACUACGUG
rnacentral:rRNA from 1 species